rnacentral:sRNA from 1 species
AGUAGAGAUGGGGUUUCACCGUGUUAGCCAGGAUGGUCUGGAUUUCCUGACCUUGUGAUCCGCCCGCCUCGGAUCCGCCCACCCGCCCACCCAGCACUCCCAAAGUGCUGGGAUUACAGGCGGGGUCUCCCUGUGUUGCCCAGGCUGGGCUCAAGCAAUCAUCCUGACUCGGCCUCAAAAAGUGCUGGGAUUACAGGCAUGAGCCACUCUGCUCAGCCUGUUGAUUUCUCUUUAUUUAUUUAUUUAUUUAUUUAUUUACUGUUUUUUGAGAUGGAGUCUCACUCUGUUGGCCAGGUUGGAGUGCAGUGGCACGAUCUUGGCUCACUGCAGCCUCCGCGUCCCGGAUUCAAGUUGUAUCAGAGUAAGAUGGACGGUAGCUUUGAUUGUGAUUGUGGUGAGCUGGAGCCACCUGAUCACUAACAAAAGACAUCUUCUGUUAACCAACAGCCUCCAGGGCUUCCUGUUGAAAUAAAUAUAUAGCAACAAAGGAAAAAAAGAAGCAAAACGGAAAUAGUGCUUACCAGCACCUUAGAAUGAUGCUGCUCAGGACCAGUCCAACACUGAAUGUAUCUGC